UACGAAGGGGGGCUAGCGUUGUUCGGAAUCACUGGGCGUAAAGGGCGCGUAGGCGGCUUUUAUAAGUCGGGGGGUGAAAGCCUGUGGCUCAACCACAGAAUUGCCUUCGAUACUGUAGAGCUUGAGACCGGAAGAGGUAAGUGGAACUGCGAGUGUAGAGGUGAAAUUCGUAGAUAUUCGCAAGAACACCAGUGGCGAAGGCGGCUCACUGGCCCGUAACUGACGCUGAGGCACGAAAGCGUGGGGAGCA
rnacentral:rRNA from 1 species